rnacentral:lncRNA from 1 species
GGUUCUUUAAAAUUAAUUGUGGUGUCAAAAUAUUAUUUGAUUUAUUUCUUUCUUUCAUAAUUUAUUAUAAUGUGCUUUCAGCAUUUUAUUUUUAUCAUCAGCUUCAUUUUGUAGCUAAUUUGAAUAUUUAUAUCUGUGUUGCUAACUCAAAAUUCGCUUUAGUAUAUUUUAUUUCUGUAAAGGAAAACUCGUGUUUAGCA